rnacentral:rRNA from 1 species
UACGAAGGGGGGCUAGCGUUGCUCGGAAUCACUGGGCGUAAAGCGCACGUAGGCGGAUUGUUAAGUCAGGGGUGAAAUCCUGGAGCUCAACUCCAGAACUGCCUUUGAUACUGGCGAUCUCGAGUCCGGGAGAGGUGAGUGGAACUGCGAGUGUAGAGGUGAAAUUCGUAGAUAUUCGCAAGAACACCAGUGGCGAAGGCGGCUCACUGGCCCGGUACUGACGCUGAGGUGCGAAAGCUAGGGGAGCAAACGGGG